rnacentral:rRNA from 1 species
ACUAAAACUUUCAACAACGGAUCUCUUGGUUCUGGCAUCGAUGAAGAACGCAGCGAAAUGCGAUAAGUAAUGUGAAUUGCAGAAUUCAGUGAAUCAUCGAAUCUUUGAACGCACAUUGCGCCCCUUGGUAUUCCGGGGGGCAUGCCUGUUCGAGCGUC